GAUGAACGCUGGCGGCGUGCUUAACACAUGCAAGUCGAACGGUGAACGAGGGAGCUUGCUCCCUCCGGAUCAGUGGCGAACGGGUGAGUAACACGUGAGCAAUCUGCCCUGGACUCUGGGAUAAGCGUUGGAAACGACGUCUAAUACCGGAUACGAGGCGUGGGGGCAUCCCCAACGCCUGGAAAGAACUUCGGUCCAGGAUGAGCUCGCGGCCUAUCAGCUAGUUGGUGAGGUAACGGCUCACCAAGGCGACGACGGGUAGCCGGCCUGAGAGGGGGACCGGCCACACUGGGACUGAGACACGGCCCAGACUCCUACGGGAGGCAGCAGUGGGGAAUAUUGCACAAUGGGCGCAAGCCUGAUGCAGCAACGCCGCGUGAGGGACGACGGCCUUCGGGUUGUAAACCUCUUUUAGCAGGGAAGAAGCGAAAGUGACGGUACCUGCAGAAAAAGCACCGGCUAACUACGUGCCAGCCGCCGCCGUAAGAC
rnacentral:rRNA from 1 species